GCCCAAAAAUAAAUAUUAAGCUUAUAAUUUGAAUUAUUAAUUAAAUACAGGUUAAUACUUUCUGCCACCAAAAAAUGUUUGUUGCUAAUGCAUUCCAAUACAUUCUAUGACCAAACUAUUGGUGGGGAAAGAUAGACAUUCAGUGACCAUAUUUUUGGUAGCGGAAGACAAACAUUCCACGACCAACUAUUUGGUCGGCGUGGGAAUUAGCGACAACAAAUUUGGUCGCUGAAAAGUUGCUUCGGCAACCAAACGUUGGUCGUUGUUGGUGUACCUUAGGUGACCACACAAUAUUGGUCGCCAAAACCUUUCAGUGACUAGGGUUCGGCGACGAAGAGUAUUCUAGUCGCGAAAAGGUUUCGGCGACCAAAUAUGGUUAUUCAGCGACUAGAAUCUUAGU
rnacentral:lncRNA from 1 species